rnacentral:rRNA from 1 species
GACGAACGCUGGCGGCGUGCUUAACACAUGCAAGUCGAACGCUGAAGACCUGGCUUUUGUUGGGUUGGAUGAGUGGCGAACGGGUGAGUAACACGUGAGUAACCUGCCCUCUUCUUUGGGAUAACGCCCGGAAACGGGUGCUAAUACUGGAUAUUCACUGAUCUUCGCAUGGGGGUUGGUGGAAAGGUUUGUUCUGGUGGGGGAUGGGCUCGCGGCCUAUCAGCUUGUUGGUGGGGUGAUGGCCUACCAAGGCUUUGACGGGUAGCCGGCCUGGGAGGGUGACCGGUCACAUUGGGACUGAGAUACGGCCCAGACUCCUACGGGAGGCAGCAGUGGGGAAUAUUGCACAAUGGGCGAAAGCCUGAUGCAGCGACGACGCGUGAGGGAUGGAGGCCUUCGGGUUGUAAACCUCUUUCGCUCAUGGUCAAGCCGCAACUGUGGGUUGUGGUGAGGGUAGUGGGUAAAGAAGCGCCGGCUAACUACGUG